AUUUCCCGCCGAAAGGCGGUUUCCUCCCGCGUAUAUGCCCCGGAGGCAUCUCUGGAUCAGGAAAACUUCGGUGGAGAAGGAUGGGCAUGCGGCGCAUUAGCUAGUUGGCGGGGUAACGGCCCACCAAGGCGACGAUGCGUAGGGGUUCUGAGAGGAAGGUCCCCCACACUGGUACUGAUACACGGACCAGACUCCUACGGGAGGCAGCAGUGAGGAAUAUUGGUCAAUGGUCGGGAGACUGAACCAGCCAAGCCGCGCGAAGGAAGACGGCGCUCAGCGUUGUAAACUUCUUUUGUCAGGGAACAAAAGGCGUCACGUGUGACGCUCUGAGUGUACCUGAAGAAAAAGCAUCGGCUAACUCCGUGCCAGCAGCCGCGGUAAUACGGAGGAUGCGAGCGUUAUCCGGAUUUAUUGGGUUUAAAGGGUGCGUAGGCGGCAUGUUAAGUCGGCGGUAAAAGCCCGGGGCUCAACCCCGGCGAGCCGUUGAAACUGGCGUGCUAGAGACGGCGAGAGGUAUGCGGAAUGCGCAGUGUAGCGGUGAAAUGCAUAGAUAUUGCGCAGAACUCCGACUGCGAAGGCAGCAUACUGGCGCCGGACUGACGCUGAGGCACGAAA
rnacentral:rRNA from 2 species